rnacentral:sRNA from 1 species
GCCAGGUGUGGUGAGCACACCUGUAAUCCCAGUGGCUUGGGAGGCUGGAGCAAGAGGAUCGCAAGUUCAAAGCCAGCCUCAGCAACUUAGUGAGGCCUUUAGGAACUCAGUGAGACCCUGUCUCUA